rnacentral:rRNA from 1 species
UGGGGAAUUUUGGACGAAUUGGGGGGCAACCCGUCGAUCCAGCAAUGCCGCGUGUGUGAAGAAGGCCUUCGGGUUGUAAAGCACUUUUGUCCGGAAAGAAAACGCCGUGGUUAAUACCCGUGGGCGGAUGACGGUACCGGAAGAAUAAGCACCGGCUAACUACGUGCCAGCAGCCGCGGUAAUACGUAGGGGUGCAAGCGUUAAUCGGAAUUACUGGGCGUAAAGCGUGCGCAGGCGGUUUUGCUAAGACCGAUGUGAAAUCCCCGGGCUCAACCUGGGAACUGAUUGGUGACUGGCAGGGCUAGAGUAUGGCAGAGGGGGGUGAAAUUCCACGUGUAGCAGUGAAAUGCGUAGAGAUGUGGAGGAAUACCGAUGGCGAAGGCAGCCCCCUGGGCCAAUACUGACGCUCAUGCACG